rnacentral:rRNA from 1 species
GACGAACGCUGGCGGCGUGCUUAACACAUGCAAGUCGAACGGAAAGGCCCUGCUUUUGUGGGGUGCUCGAGUGGCGAACGGGUGAGUAACACGUGAGUAACCUGCCCUUGACUUUGGGAUAACUUCAGGAAACUGGGGCUAAUACCGGAUAGGAGCUCCUGCUGCAUGGUGGGGGUUGGAAAGUUUCGGCGGUUGGGGAUGGACUCGCGGCUUAUCAGCUUGUUGGUGGGGUAGUGGCUUACCAAGGCUUUGACGGGUAGCCGGGCUGAGAGGGGGACCGGACAAAAUGGGCCUGGGAUGAGGCCCGGACCAGAAUCGGAGGGAAGGGAGGGGAAGAGUACACAAGAGGAGGGAGGCAGGUGUGACAAAGCAGGGUGGGGGAUGACGGGCUGCGGGUUGUAAACCGCUGUCGCCUGUGACGAAGCGUGAGUGACGGUAAUGGGUAAAGAAGCACCGGCUAACUACGUG